rnacentral:rRNA from 1 species
CAGCGCCACGAGUGGCAACCACAUUUAUUGGGCCUAAAGCGUCCGUAGCCGGUUUGGUAAAUCUUUUGUGAAAUCAUGGGGCUUAACUCCAUGGCGUGCAGAAGACACUGCUGAACUUGGAACCGGGAGGAGUCAGAAGUAUUCUGGGGGGAGCGGUAAAAUGUUAUAAUCCCCGGAGGACUACCUGUGGCGAAGGCGUCUGACUAGAACGGAUUCGACGGUGAGGGACGAAGGCCAGGGGAGCGAACCGGAUUAGAUACCCGCGUAGUCC